rnacentral:ncRNA from 1 species
UGAUAAACUAUGAUGGAGAGAGUAGAUAGACUAAUUCUUGCAGAGAGAAAAGGUCAUAGGCUGGAAACCUUUUUAAGAAGGAGUAUAUCGAAGUUCGCUCUGGAGUUCUAAUUGUGAAAAUUAAAAGUAGCAAUUAGCGGUAAAUCCGAUAACUUUUAAUAAGAGAGCUGUAAGUUUUUGCAGCUAAUAAGGGUGGUAACGCGGAGUAACUUCGUCCCUAAG